rnacentral:rRNA from 1 species
UAGAGUUUGAUCCUGGCUCAGAUUGAACGCUGGCGGCAGGCCUAACACAUGCAAGUCGAGCGGUAACACAGAGGAGCUUGCUCCUUGGGUGACGAGCGGCGGACGGGUGAGUAAUGCCUGGGGAUCUGCCCGAUAGAGGGGGAUAACUACGGGAAACUGUAGCUAAUACCGCAUAAUGUCUACGGACCAAAGUGGGGGCUCUUCGGACCUCAUGCUAUCGGAUGAACCCAGGUGGGAUUAGCUAGUUGGUGAGGUAAUGGCUCACCAAGGCGACGAUCUCUAACUGGUUUGAGAGAAUGACCAGUCACACUGGAACUGAGACACGGUCCAGACUCCUACGGGAGGCAGCAGUGGGGAAUAUUGCACAAUGGGCGCAAGCCUGAUGCAGCCAUGCCGCGUGUGUGAAGAAGGCCUUCGGGUUUGUAAAGCACUUUCAGCGGGGAGGAAGGGUCACUAGUUAAUACCUAGUGGCAUUGACGUUACUCGCAGAAGAAGCACCGGCUAACUCCGUGCCAGCAGCCGCGGUAAUACGGAGGGUGCAAGCGUUAAUCGGAAUUACUGGGCGUAAAGCGCACGCAGGCGGUUUGUUAAGUCAGAUGUGAAAUCCCCGAGCUCAACUUGGGAACUGCAUUUGAAACUGGCAAGCUAGAGUCUUGUAGAGGGGGGUAGAAUUCCAGGUGUAGCGGUGAAAUGCGUAGAGAUCUGGAGGAAUACCGGUGGCGAAGGCGGCCCCCUGGACAAAGACUGACGCUCAGGUGCGAAAGCGUGGGGAGCAAACAGGACUAGGUACCCUGGUAGUCCACGCUGUAAACG